rnacentral:rRNA from 1 species
UGCCAGCAGCCGCGGUAAUACAGAGGUCUCAAGCGUUGUUCGGAAUUACUGGGCGUAAAGCGUGCGUAGGCGGCUUGGUAAGUCAGAUGUGAAAUCCCGGGGCUCAACCUCGGAACUGCAUCCGAUACUGCCAGGCUAGAGUAGUGGAGGGGAGUCUGGAAUUCACGGUGUAGCAGUGAAAUGCGUAGAUAUCGUGAGGAACACUAGUGGCGAAGGCGAGACUCUGGACACUUACUGACGCUGAGGCACGAAGGCUAGGGUAGCGAAAGGGAUUAGAUA